AUCAUGUCCAUCAUGUGACACCCGCAGGCCUCUCUCUCUCUCUUUCUCUAUAGAAACUUAAAGGGGACUUUCACGUGACGACGACACCGCCGCCGGACCCGCCGGUACCCCCCGAUCAUCCUUAAAGGAGAAAGAGGCUGGAGCUGGGAUAUAAAGUAGUCUUCCAGGAGUACUGCCAGAACUGAUCUGUUUUACUCUGCUGCUGCUGCUGCUGCUGUUGCUGUUCUGCUGUGUCAUGGGAAGAGAGUUACCUAGCCCUCGGAAACGGCACCUCAGGCACAGCCUCUUGCUGCACACCCGAGCCGUGUUUUCCACAGCCGAAGGCGAGCCUCUCACCUGCUCUGCUCCUAUCCAUAACUAUUUGCAAGACCAGAGCUAAAUCGUUUAUCGGAAGGAAAUGUUGGAUGCAAAUACCUACAUGAGCUGUUUCUACGUCAUGUCACGGACGAGAUGGGAUGCUCGAACAAGGUUAUAAUGUACCUGCAUUUUCUCCAGAUCGGUGCCAAGCUUGCUGAGUCAUUUUCCCUGUUCCCAUUCUGCAGUCGGCUGCUUGCUCGCUAUUCCCUGUUAUUUGUGUGGGUCGUAAGCCCAGCAACAGAUGAGAAU